rnacentral:snoRNA from 1 species
GCCAAAUGAUGUCAAGUGCAUGGCAUUAGCACUCUGUGCAAAGAUGACCUGCUUCUAUCACCCUAUUACUGAUGGCU